rnacentral:misc_RNA from 1 species
GAACGCACAUUGCGCUCUCUGGUAUUCCGGAGAGCAUACUUGUUUGAGUAUCAGUAAACACCCUCAGCUCUCCCUUUUCGAACCCUUCUUGUUGCAAGCAAGAGAAAAAGGGUAAAAGUAAGGGAGAAUUGGACUUGAGCAAAAAAAUCCCAACGGGAAACUUUUUUUCCUGGCGGGUUGCUUAAAAUGCAGGUGUGGCUGGACAUUUCUUCUGAGCAAAAAGCAUUACUCAUUUAGUCCGCCUAAAAAACGGAUUAUCACUAUUGCUGCAAGCUUACACAAAGGUUGAAUUUUUUGUCCGCUUUGCGCCAACUGAUGCAAGAGAAAAUAUUGACUCGAUCUCAAAUCAAGUAAGACUACCCGCUGAACUUAAG